UCCUAAGUAGCUCAGUGGUAGAGCAAUCGUCUGUUAACCGAUUGGUCGUAGGUUCAAGUCCUAACUGGGGAG
rnacentral:tRNA from 1 species